rnacentral:other from 1 species
GAUCCCCUGAAGUGUUUGCCAGCCGGUCCAGUCCCCUGAGCCGAUAUCAUCACCCCGGGAAGUUCACGUGAUUGUUGUGUGCAUGUCCGCCCGACGGAAAGCCUGAUACAGCCACUGGGCUUCCCCCUUGAACCGUUGGGUUCAAGGGUUCAGAUCGGCAGCGGCACUUCGGAGGACAC